rnacentral:rRNA from 1 species
GACGAACGCUGGCGGCGUGGAUUAGGCAUGCAAGUCGAACGGUAUCAUCCUUUCGGGGGUGAGAGAGUGGCGAACUGGUGAGUAACACGUAGGUUAUCUACCCUCAAGACGGGGGACAACCCAGGGAAACUUGGGCUAAUACCGGAUGUGAGCAACUUUUAGUUGUUUGAAAGGUGGCGUAAGCUGUCGCUUGGGGAUGAGCCUGCGUCCUAUUAGUUAGUUGGUGAGGUAACGGCUCACCUAGGCAAUGAUAGGUAGGCGGCCUUAACGGGUGGUCGCCCACACUGGGAUUGAGAUACGGCCCAGACUCCUACGGGAGGCAGCAGUCGAGAAUAGUCUACAAUGGUCGGAAGACUGAUAGUGCGACGCCGCGUGAACGAUGAAUCCCUUCGGGGUGUAAAGUUCUUUUAUAUGUGAGCAGUGCUUCUUAUAUUAACAGUAUGGGGAAGAGAUAUUAGCAUAUGAAUAAGCAACGGCUAAACUCCGUGCCCAGCAGCCCGGUAAGA